UACGUAGGGUGCAAGCGUUGUCCGGAAUUAUUGGGCGUAAAGAGCUCGUAGGCGGUCUGUCGCGUCUGCUGUGAAAACCUAGGGCUUAACUCUGGGCGUGCAGUGGGUACGGGCAGGCUAGAGUGCGGUAGGGGAGACUGGAAUUCCUGGUGUAGCGGUGAAAUGCGCAGAUAUCAGGAGGAACACCGGUGGCGAAGGCGGGUCUCUGGGCCGUAACUGACGCUGAGGAGCGAAAGCAUGGGGAGCGAACAGGA
rnacentral:rRNA from 1 species